rnacentral:rRNA from 1 species
AGGACGAACGCUGGCGGCGUGCUUAACACAUGCAAGUCGAACGGUGAACCAGAGCUUGCUCUGGGGAUCAGUGGCGAACGGGUGAGUAACACGUGGGCAACCUGCCCCAGACUCUGGGAUAACCUCGGGAAACCGAUGCUAAUACCGGAUACGACCACUUCGGACAUCCGACGGUGGUGGAAAGUUUUUCGGUCUGGGAUGGGCCCGCGGCCUAUCAGCUAGUUGGUGGGGUAAUGGCCUACCAAGGCGACGACGGGUAGCCGGCCUGAGAGGGCGACCGGCCACACUGGAACUGAGGCACGGUCCAGACUCCUACGGGAGGCAGCAGUGGGGAAUAUUGCACAAUGGGCGAAAGCCUGAUGCAGCGACGCCGCGUGAGGGACGACGGCCUUCGGGUUGUAAACCUCUUUCAGCAGGGACGAAGCGAAAGUGACUGUACCUGCAGAAGAAGCACCGGCUAACUACGUG